UAUUCUCACGUCCUUGUAGGCACUAGGCAAGGCACUCUCUUUAGCAACACAAAGGAAAAUAAAAGUCCAAGAAAAUGAUUAUAUGUCAUGACUCAGAGAUAGAUAGCUAAAUACUGGAGGAAGAGACAUCGGGAAGCUUUCACUUUCAGAGGUUAGGAAAUUGAACCUCUCUCAGCUCUCCCUUUCUGCUUCAUACCUGCACAGCUUUUCUCAGCACAAGUUAGGCUCUGAAAUCUGUAAACAAAAAUGAGUAGCCAAUAACACCCUCUUGAGUCUUGAGUUUGAAACCUAUCUACUAUUUCUAUUUUAAAUCCAGGCAGCAAGUUCUAUGCAUUUUGACCCGCAUCCUACAUUGACUUGCCUCUUCUUCAAACCCUACCAGGCUUCUUCUCAACAAAACACCAAAAAGUUUCUUGAUAUUAGGACCCCAAAAGGAGCAGAAGAAAUAAAGAAGGGCAAUCCCCAUCUCCAGUCAUCUCUCACCGCUGCUCCUGCUUACAGUAUUUCUUGCUAAAUAACUCUAGUUAGUGCUCCAUUUCCAUGCCAUGAUCAAUCGGGUUACAAGGAAGAAAGAAAUGGGGGUUCUAAGAAGAGAGCUGGCUUGCUUAUCUCUUCUUCUUCUUCUUCUGUUAAUAAUGUCACUGCUAGAGACUCCAUGUUAUGCUGUUGGCUAUGGAAAGUUUAGUAGCGUCAAAGGCGGGUCUAGUUCUGAGCUGAGGAACAAUCCUGCCAUGUCUAAUAGUGUUGGUGGCCUCAAGAGAAAUGCAAAUAAAGAUGGUAAUGAAAUUUUUGGUGCUGAUAAGAGGAAGGUCUAUACAGGACCGAAUCCGUUACACAACAGAUAAGUUACUACAGCUAGUCGCCAAGCUUGAAUCUGCUUCCUUAAUAUAUGAGACUUUUUUUUAUCUGUUUUCUUUCUUUGCUUUCCUUUUUUUUUUUUUCUUAUCACUUUUAUGAACAUUUUUUAUGCUUGGAGCUCUUGCUGUAAUCUCCACAGUAAAUGUUUCAAGUGGUCUUACAGAUGUAUAUGAGAGUUUAGGUUCGAGAUUUUGGCUGAAGAAACAUACUUAUAUUUGUUAAGAUUAUAAAGGAAGAAGUCAAUACUGCUGCUUUCAAAUAUUACUCAUGAAACAUCAAUGCCCAUUAAUGGAGUUGUUGGUGUUAUAAAUUCUGAUCUGCUAUAGAAAUUUGCUGUUGGUUGGUGGCAAUUAGUCCUGUCGUUGCUUCUGCUGGAAGAAGAAAAUAACUUUACUGUUUCAGUGGGCUAAUACUUUCUUUACACUGUUUAAGAUUACUAGGUACUAGGCACUUGUCGAUAUAAGGUUUGCACACAACACACACACACACACACACACACAUAUAUAUAUAUAUAUAAUUUUAUACAUGUGGUGAUUAAAAAAUAUUAAAAUUAAAGAUAUUGUAAUUUCCAAUCAUGUCAUGUCAUGUACCAAACUUUAAAAUCAAACCCUAAACAAUGCUGAGUCGCUGAGAUUUGGAUUAUGAUUAGGUUAGUUUCGGGUUAAGCUUUAAUUAAAAUGUAUUAUUUUGCUAAUAUUUUGAGUGAACAAUGCUAAUUUUUUUAAAAAAAAAUCGUAUGGAUGGAUGUACAGAGGACUUGCGCCUCAGUGCUUGAAACAGUAAAGAUGGAUCCUAAUGCACAGUACAAGCAUUCAUGACUCAUGCCUGCUCUAAUGGCCAUUUUUCAUCUUGGCUGGAAACCAGAGGGAGGGAGGAAGCAGCAGGACUGUGAGCCUUAAAUUCCUUGUGGAAUUGUUUAUCAGAGACUGUUAGACUCAAUCAUCUUCAUUUCUUUGCCUGAAUAAUUAUGUGGCAGACCCCACCUUAAAUUCUGGUGUUGAUUCUCCCUUUGCCAGCCAUAUGUCCACUAUAUAAUGAGGAUUUUACCGCUUACAAGCACCCCAGCAAGAAUGAUUGUGGUAAGUGAGUAAAACCCCGGCUGUCCCAGGCUCUUACAAGAGGUGCACGUCUUGACUCGAACUCGAAACCUGCUGUGCAGAUCUCAAGCCCUUUGCCACCACGCUACGCCCCUUGAGGACACAAACACAUCCUAUGAGUACAUGUAAAUCAUGUUUCUAUCAUAUAUAUUUAUUUUGUAUUUAUUAUAGUUUCAUUAUUUAGGUAUUUAUUAUUUAAAUAUUAUUUAUUAUUCAAUAAUAUAUAAAGAAUUAUAAAUGAUGUACAUAUAUCUCAAUAUUAAUAUAACAUAUACAUAUAUUAUUUAA